rnacentral:rRNA from 1 species
CCGAGUUGUAAUUUGCAGAGGACACUUCGGGUGCGGCUGCGGUCUAAGUCCCCUGGAACGGGGCGUCGGAGAGGGUGAGAAUCCCGUCUGGGACCGUGGACCUGCCCCGUGUGAAGUUCCUUCGACGAGUCGAGUUGUUUGGGAAUGCAGCUCUAAGUGGGUGGUAAAUUUCAUCUAAAGCUAAAUACUGGCGGGAGACCGAUAGCGCACAAGUAGAGUGAUCGAAAGGUUAAAAGCACCUUGAAAAGGGAGUUAAACAGCACGUGAAAUUGUUGAAAGGGAAGCGCUGGCAGCCAGACAGGAACUCGGGGGCUCAGCGGGCAUGCGUGCCCGUGCACUCCCCCGCGGUUCCGGCCAGCAUCAGUUUCGGCGGCCGGUCAAAGGCCCCGGGAAGGUAUCGUCCUCCGGGACGACUUACAGCCCGGGGUGCAAUGCGGCCAGUCGGGACUGAGGAACGCGCUCCGGCACGGAUGCUGGCGUAAUGGCUGUCAGCGGCCCGUCUUGAAACACGGACCAAGGAGUCUAACAACCACGCGAGUGUUCGGGUGUCAAACCCGUGCGCGCAGUGAAAGCGAACGGAGGUGGGAGCCCCUCGUGGGUGCACCAUCGACCGAUCCUGAUGUCUUCGGAUGGAUUUGAGUAAGAGCGUGGCUGUUGGGACCCGAAAGAUGGUGAACUAUGCCUGAAUAGGGUGAAGCCAGAGGAAACUCUGGUGGAGGCUCGCAGCGGUUCUGACGUGCAAAUCGAUCGUCAAAUUUGGGUAUAGGG